UCGGGACGCCCGGCCAAGUUUCCCGUGCCCCUCGUCGUCUCGCUUCCCGGCCCGAGUUCCGGCCUCGAGUCCCCCGACAAUCGCGAGUGUCUCGUGCUUCUCAUUUCCGCGCCUUCUCACUCGCGCCAACUUACCGGCGAAUGUGCGAGUCGCUGCUAACCCCCGGUCUCUGCUAACGUGUAUACAUCUGGACUUUGAUUCCAACCAUUAUACUUCAAGAGUUUAUGAACAAAUACAAACUGUAAGUGUUUAAUGCAGGAAAUUGUGUACGUAAUCCUGGAAUUCUUCCUUCAACCGUAUGAUAUUGAUGAGCAGACUGACUGUUGCUAGCUCAAACUAUGUGUGAUACCUCUCAUUGACAAACGCGUUCCCAAAUGAUCGACAGAUUCGAUCUCACUAAGCCGCUCCAUUCGAUCUCCAAUUGUUGCGGGACGAUGUGAUCUCAAACAAAAUCAAGAUGGCCCGCCUUAAGCCGGUCAAGGUGAAUGUUCUCAUCCACGGCCACAAAUCCAAA